rnacentral:rRNA from 1 species
GAGUUUGAUCGUGGCUCAGAUUGAACGCUGGCGGCAUGCCUUACACAUGCAAGUCGAACGGCAGCAUGAUCUAGCUUGCUAGAUUGAUGGCGAGUGGCGAACGGGUGAGUAAUACAUCGGAACGUGCCCCGUAGUGGGGGAUAACUAGUCGAAAGAUUAGCUAAUACCGCAUACGACCUGAGGGUGAAAGUGGGGGACCGCAAGGCCUCAUGCUAUAGGAGCGGCCGAUGUCUGAUUAGCUAGUUGGUGGGGUAAAGGCCCACCAAGGCGACGAUCAGUAGCUGGUCUGAGAGGACGAUCAGCCACACUGGGACUGAGACACGGCCCAGACUCCUACGGGAGGCAGCAGUGGGGAAUUUUGGACAAUGGGCGAAAGCCUGAUCCAGCAAUGCCGCGUGUGUGAAGAAGGCCUCGGUU